ACCCGUCUAGCUCAGUUGGUAGAGCGUUGGCCUUUUAAGCCAGUGGUCGUGGGUCCGAGCCCCACGGGGGGUG
rfam:Hyaloperonospora arabidopsidis Emoy2 Contig58.4, whole genome shotgun sequence.